AGAGCUGUAGCUCAGUGGUAGAGCACUUGCCUAGCAUGUUUGUGGCACUGUGUUCAGUCCUCAACAUCUCAC
rnacentral:tRNA from 1 species